AAAAUGUGGCUAAACCAGUAAAGCACCUCCCUUACACCGAGGAGAUACCCGUGCAAUUCGGGUCAUUUUGAACAUU
rnacentral:tRNA from 1 species